GACGAACGCUGGCGGCAUGCCUAACACAUGCAAGUCGAACGAGACCUUCGGGUCUAGUGGCGCACGGGUGCGUAACGCGUGGGAACCUGCCUUUAGGUUCGGAAUAACUCAGAGAAAUUUGAGCUAAUACCGGAUGAUGUCUUCGGACCAAAGAUUUAUCGCCUUUAGAUGGGCCCGCGUUGGAUUAGCUAGUUGGUGGGGUAAAGGCCUACCAAGGCGACGAUCCAUAGCUGGUCUGAGAGGAUGAUCAGCCACACUGGGACUGAGACACGGCCCAGACUCCUACGGGAGGCAGCAGUGGGGAAUAUUGGACAAUGGGCGAAAGCCUGAUCCAGCAAUGCCGCGUGAGUGAUGAAGGCCUUAGGGUUGUAAAGCUCUUUUACCCGAGAUGAUAAUGACAGUAUCGGGAGAAUAAGCGCCGGCUAACUCCGUG
rnacentral:rRNA from 1 species